rnacentral:ncRNA from 1 species
AUAUAAAUUUUUAUGGUUUAAUUAAUUUAUUUUAAGUUUAUUUUACAUAUAAAUUUUAGUGAGUAUUUUAUUUUAUUUAAAUAAUAAAAUAUAUUAAUUAAGUAGUGAUUAAUAUUAAAAAUUUAAGAAAUUAUGAUUUAGUAAUAUAAGAAUUAAAAACUAAUUUUGUGCCAGCAGUUGCGGUUAAACAAAAUUUAAAAUAAAUUUUUUUAGUGGUUAAUUUAUAUGUAAAAUAAACUUAAUUUAAAAUUUAAAUUAUUAGGUGAAAUUUUAAUUUAAUAAAAUAUUAAUUUUUUAUUUAUGAUAUUAAUAAAUUUUUGGAAAAACUAGGAUUAGAUACCCUAUUAUGAAAAAUUUAAAUUUAAAAUACUAAAAUAGUAGUUAAUUUUUAUCGAAACUUAAAUAAAUUGGCGGUAUUUUAGUUCAUUUAGAGGAAUCUGUUUAAUAAUUGAUAUUCCACGAAUAAAUUUACUUAAUUUAAUAAUUUGUAUAUCGUUGUUAAAAAAAUAUUUUAAAAUGAUUAAUAAUAUUUAAAAGUUUAAAUUUAAAAUUAAAUCAGAUCAAGAUGCAGUUUAUAAUUAAGAAUAUAAUGGGUUACAAUAAAUUUAUUUAAAUGAAUAUAUGUUUGUAAUAAUUUAUUGAAGGUGGAUUUAAAAGUAAUUUUAUUUAAUUUUUUAAAAUGAUUAAAAAUUAAAAUAUGUACAUAUUGCCCGUCACUUUCAUAUAUAAGUUGAAAUAAGUCGUAACAAAGUAGAGGUACUGGAAAGUGUUUCUAGAAUGAUU